rnacentral:rRNA from 1 species
UACGUAGGUGACCAGCGUUGUCCGGAUUUAUUGGGCGUAAAGAGCGUGUAGGCGGCUUGACAAGUCUGCUGUGAAAACUCGAGGCUCAACCUCGAGCUGUCGGCGGAAACUGUCAGGCUAGAGUCCGGAAGAGGAGAGUGGAAUUCCUGGUGUAGCGGUGAAAUGCGCAGAUAUCAGGAAGAACACCUAUGGCGAAGGCAGCUCUCUGGGACGGUACUGACGCUGAGACGCGAAAGCGUGGGGAGCGAACAGG